rnacentral:tRNA from 1 species
UCCCUGGUGGCCUAGUGGUUAAAGAUCUGGCAUUGUCACUGCUGUGGCUCAGGUUCAAUUCUUGGCCCAGGAA